rnacentral:lncRNA from 1 species
UUUUUUUUUUUUUUUUUUUUGGAGAAUUGCUGGGAAACGACAUUAGAUGGUUUUAAAUAGUAAUUCCUAGGCGUUGCCCUGUUGAUAGCCAACAUAAACACGGCAGCCCCGUGGAUCAAAGAAAUUACCCCCAUCAAAGAAAAACUGGACCAUGCCAGGAAUUGGAUCUUUCAAAUGCUAGGUCAAGGCUGCCAGAACAUGGGGAAAGCAUGGGAUGGCUGAGAAGAAGGUGGCAGAUUUUUUUUAAUGCUGAGAAUUUAAAACAAUUUUUAAAGUAAUAUUAAUAGUAGUAGCAGUAGUGAAAUAAUGAUUUUUAUUGAGCAUUUUUUUUUUUGUCUUUUUGCCAUUUUUCUUGGGCCGCGCCCGUGGCAUAUGGAGGUUCCCAGGCUAGGGGUUGAAUUGGAGCUGUAGCCACCAGCCUACGCCAGAGCCACAGCAACCCAGGAUCCGAGCCGCGUCUGCAACCUACACCACAGCUCACGGCAACGCUGGAUCCUCAACCCACUGAGCAAGGGCAGGGACCGAACCUGCAACCUCUUGGUUCCUAGUCGGAUUCGUUAACCACUGCGCCACGACGGGAACUCCUAUUGAGCAUUUUGUAUGUCCCAGCGCCACUUGCUGAGACCUUUCCACAUCCUAUUUCAUUUUAACCUCACAAACUCCAUUGAGGUGGGGACUACAAUUAUCCCGGCUUGACGGUCAAGGCUACAGAAUCACAAAGAGGUCGUUCACUUCCCUGAGGCCACAGAGGCAGUGGACGCCAGGCCUGUACUCUCAGCUGGGCUAUACUACUCCUUCCAGGGCUGUUUAGGAUGCUAACACUUCCUAAACACUUGCUGUUUCCCAAGCCUUCCUCCAGUACUUUAUAGGUGGUGACGCGCUUAAUGCUCACAGCCUCAGCCAAUGAAAGACAGGCUACAACAACCCCACUUUACAGAUGAGGAAAACUAGGGCACAGAGAGGCUGAGGAAGCUGCCCACUUAACCAUCCAGCUAGUUAAGUGCCCCAGCGGAAAUCGGACCCAGGCAAUCUGAGCUCAGAAGCCAAAAUCUUAACCACCUCCUAAUACUACCUCUCAUGUAGAAUUAAGAAACUAUGUCUCACCCAUGUGAUUUCUGAGGUGCAGGCUGCAUAACUAAACCCACCAUUUAAAACAUCCGGGGGAAUUAGUAUUUUCUUUAUUCACAUUAAUUUCAAGCCAAGGUGGAACAGAAGAAAAGCACUACAAGGAAUAUGCCCAUAAGAUGACUGUGUUUCAUUAUCAGCUGCCAGUCAUGUCUACAGACGUGAGACAUGGUGAGUGGAAGAUUUGGGAGAGUUUUUGGUCCUGAAGUCAAAGAAGUGGUGGCCGUGCCAGGAAAAAAGCAAAGCAGGACCUCAGCUUCAGCACCAUCCAGGGCUCCAGAACUAAUUACCAAAUGGAGCAGAAAACAAUGAAAUAACCAAGUGAUGAAUGGGUUAAGAAGAUAUGGCAAUAAAUACAAUGGAAUACUACUAAGCCAUAAAAAAGAAUGAAUUCAUGUCAUUUUCAGCAACAUGGAUGCAACUAGAAAUUCUCAUAGUAAGUGAAGUCACAAAGAGAAAGACAAAUACCAUAUGAUAUCACUUAUACAUGAAAUCUAAAAUAUGGCACAAAUGAACCUAUCCACAAAACAGAAACAGACUCAUGGAUCUAUACAACAGACUUGUGGUUGCCAAGCAGGAGGGGAGAAGGAGUGGGAUGGACUGGGAUGGACAGGGAGUUUGGGUUGGUAGAUGUUUAGAAUGGAUAAGCAAUGAGGUCCUCCUGUACAGCACAGGGACCUCUAUCAGUCUCUUGAGAUAGACCAUGAUGGAAGAUAAUAUGAGAAAAAGAAUGCUAAAAAAAUAAUACCCGAGUGGGCGUACUAUAAAAUUCUUCCCCCCUACAUCUACCCAAUAGAGAUGUGCCCUUGAGAGAGCUGUUGGAAGAAUGAUCAGGGAACCACUGCACACAUACAAAGUGUUUGUUUAAUAAAUAUUUAUAGUCCUCGCAACAUACAAGAACUAAUUUCAGCUCUUGCUCUUCCUAUCAGCCAGCUGUUGGAGAAAAUGAGGAAGUGAUGCCUCAUGGUGGUGGUGAUAACCGUUUCCUUAAACUUGAAAGAACUUGCCCCUCCUUCCCAAUCCCCAUCCUACAAUAGAGAAUGAAGACAAUACCAAAAGGCCAUUUCCUAGCAGUUCUGUACUUACAAAUGAUGGAUACCCCCUAGCUGAAUGCCAGUGGAGCAGUCAGUAUAGAAUCCCUCAGGCUGCUGUAACAAACACCCCCCCACACACACACCACACACAUCUCGGCAUAACACAACAAAGGUUUAUUUGCAGCUCAUCCUGUGUGUGUAGAGUGGAUUGCAGGAUGUGGUGAUGGAGGGAACUUCUCAUUGUCACCGUCCAAGGGCCCAGCUGCUGAGUUGCUGGAGGACCCCUUCAGGGAAAUACUUAUGUGAUACCAGACAAAGGGGAACAGAAUUGUGCACAAGCUCUUAACAGCACCUCCUGGAAGUAACAUAGAAUGUCCAGCCACGUGUCAUUGGCCAGCAUAAGUCACAUAACAAGCCUGACUUUAAAAAAAACAACAAAAUACAGGAUUCUUUCUUUCUUUUUUUUUUAUCUUUUUGCCAUUUCUUGGGCUGCUUCUGCAGCAUAUGGAGGUUCCCAGGCUAGGGGUCCAAUCAGAGCUGCAGCUUCCGAUCCGCCCCCACCCCCAGCCACGGCAACAUGGGAUCCAAGCCGGGUCGGCGACCUACACCAAUGCUCACAGCAACACCAGAUCCUUAACCCACUGAGUAAAGCCAGGGAUCAAACCCGCAUCCUCACGGACACUAUGUCAAGCUCUUAACCCUCUGAGCCACAAUGGGAACUCCAACCCUGUGAUUCUUAACCAAACACAAUCAUGUCAACGGUACAAACUCAGUCCUGGCUGACCUAGGGAUUUAGCUGCAACCUCUCCACACAGGACUUUGCCUUUGGCCUUGACCUGAAUUUCCAAAAUCCCUAGUGUUUCUCUGUGGCAGAACAACUAGCACCAGAUGUCUCUCAUUCCUGAUAAAAUUCCACUAACACAUUUUGUGAAAUAAAACAACAAGCAGGACUGGGGAUAUGGGAAGAAAAAUGGGAGCUCAUCCUGAGAGGAAGACGUUGACAGCAACGUCCAUUUCCAACGGCUUCUCCCAAAAGGAUGCGGUCUGUGGGGCCCAGAUUUCUCUGUGACACUGGAACCCUGUUGUCUCUGAUGAAGCCGGCAAGUCAUCACUACCCACAGCCAUCUCUAUAGUGGCACGCGAUCGUCUCACUGGAAGGUGUAAAGCACACUUUUGAAUCUCAGAACAAGGACUCUGAUGGAUAACAGAGCCAAGCAGGUUGGCAGCUGCGAGGGUUAGGGUGGCUGGCUGGACCCGUCGUCCGGGUGUUCAGGGCUUUCUGCACUGCAGCUGUGAGAUGCAGAGCUUCUCGUGGUUCCUGUGGCCACAGAUCCGCUGUGUUCCACAACUGCCAAGAGACAGCACAACCAAGGGUGCCGACUACUCAGCCUGCUCCUCCCAUCAGCUGGGUGGGCUUCACCUGGGAGCGUCCUCAAAAUGCAGAUUCUCAGGCCCUGCCUCACACCCGUUAAACCAGAAUCUGCAUUUAGCAAAGUCUCCAGGUAAUGUGCAUACACACUCGUUUGAGAAAUUCUGCUCUCCAGAGUUUUAAACCACCCAUGAAAGAGGCCUUUGUUACUAUCUUCUAUUGAACAGAAUUAAAAAUCAAGGCCAGUGUUUCCCAGGCUGCCUUCUUUCUCAUCUUGUUGUCAAACGGUCAAAUUACACCAAACGCCCAGUUAAUAAUUCACCUGCCUCAGAGCCUUGAAAAAUAGCUGAAAUUUGCACGAAUGUAACUGCACCUACUUCCGGACAACUCUAUUUCAGUAUGUCCCUUAGACACCGUCAUUUCUUUCUUUAAAAAACUCUGUUUUAAAUACUUGCUUCCGUAAGUAGUGCACUUAUUUCUCCCAGACUAUUGAUCAGACCCACACAUCCGACCGUUUUAUUUCCAACUUUCUCUUCUCCCUCCGUUAACAUGCGCCGAGUCCAAACAGGGAUAAGUGACAGUUUACAUAACAUCUGCAGGUGUUUCUGUUACCAGGGAUUCAGUGGAAUGCCGUCUUCUUCAUGGGCUUUGUUUGUUUGGCUUGAGACCAGCCGGGCGGGCUGGGCGAUGUCCGGCUUUACUGUACGCAUCUGGUCUAGCCUAACACCAUGCUGGAGGGUGUCAGGAGGAAGCCGCGAGAUGCCACCCAGCAAGAAAGCUCAAGGGACCCACUCUCUGCUUGUAAAAAGUGACCAACAUCGCACUCUAGCUUCAAAUGUUAAUGUGUAAUAUCGGAGCCGUUUACUUUGAAGAUAAGGUUUCACUGCUGAGGAAGAAGGUCGUCGGGAUCAUGUGUGAACUACGCUGCCACCUACGUGGGGACCUUAAAUGAAACAGGGAAGCAGACAUUAACCUCCAAAAGUCGGCGUUAAAGAGAUACUUUGCCUUUCAUGAGCAUUUCUUUUUUCAUGCCAAGCUCCACCUUCUGCCCUCCAAAGAUGAAGGAGGUACAGUUGACGCAGAAGCGUAUUUUCAUAGGAUUGGCAGGAACCCAGAAACCAUGUUCCCUGGAGGACUUCCAUGGCACGGUGUCCUCAAACGCCUUUAAAUAAUCUCUAGUAAAAGAGCCCGAGAGGAUAUUUCCAGGUGACAAUGGGACUGGAAGUGACAUGAUAUUUGUACGUGAGGGGCUACUCAUUUUGCUGAAAUAAAGAAUCUUGUGAAAAGAGGAAUUAGGACUUGUAUUUACAACAGCUUUUCAUAAACAUCCCCAAAUUCCAGGCACAGGAC